GUGGGGAAUAUUGGACAAUGGGGGGAACCCUGAUCCAGCCAUGCCGCGUGUGUGAAGAAGGCCUUUUGGUUGUAAAGCACUUUAAGCGAGGAGGAGGCUACCGAGAUUAAUACUCUUGGAUAGUGGACGUUACUCGCAGAAUAAGCACCGGCUAACUCUGUGCCAGCAGCCGCGGUAAUACAGAGGGUGCAAGCGUUAAUCGGAUUUACUGGGCGUAAAUCGCGCGUAGGUGGCCAAUUAAGUCAAAGGUGAAAUCCCCGAGCUUAACUUGGGAAUUGCAUUCGAUACUGGUUGGCUAGAGUAUGGGAGAGGAUGGUAGAAUUCCAGGUGUAGCGGUGAAAUGCGUAGAGAUCUGGAGGAAUACCGAUGGCGAAGGCAGCCAUCUGGCCUAAUACUGACACUGAGGUGCGAAAGCAUGGGGAGCAAACAGGAUUAGAAACCCCGGUAGUCC
rnacentral:rRNA from 1 species